CUUUGAUUCUUGGAUCCAGUAUCUACUGGAUGUUCUAGAGAAGAUCUGAAAUUCAGUAAUCCUCUUACUUUCCCUUUAGUCUUAGUUCUGUCAUAUUUAAGUACAGUUAAAUUUGAUAUUUUUAUUUUAGAAUAGAAAGAGUGUUGUCUUAGUUCUGGAAGGCUAUUUUGGUGGCCUAUGUGUUUUUUGUAUGUAUGUAGUCUCUUAUCUGUAACGUGUAGAGAGAAGGCGAAAUAAUGUUCAGUUAUUAUUAAGGAUGAUUAUUUGUGUAGUGAGGUGGACUUGGUGUGAUUUGUGACUGUCUUCUUUGAACUCUUCUGCUUUCCAUAACUUUAUGCUAUUACCACUACUGCUAACUGUCGUAAAAAGAAUAACCAACUUCUCUUGAGCAUUUGGUAAAUGACCAGCACUUUUCUAAGUAUUCCACAAUUAACUCCAUCAAUCAUCAAAGUAGCUGUUGUUAUCUGCAUCUUAUAGAUGAGGAAACUGAGGCACAAAGAAAUGACAUAAUUUUCUGAGUGUUCCACAGCUAGUUAGUGGUGGAGUCAGGAUGACCAGGCAUCAUUAAAAUGAACGCUUUUAAUAUUUUACCAAAACAACUAAGUAAUUAUUCUACAAAAAGAAGUAGGCGUAUUUAUGUAAAGAUGAACAGAAGUCUUGUGAUGCUUAAAUACAUUGAAUAUAUGAAAUUGGAACUUCCAGUGUAACCUCUUUAUGUUACUGCAACUCUGCUUAUAUUAUCUUUAACUUUGGAGAAUAGUUUUUUGCUUAAAAAAUCUAAACUACCUAGGCCAAAAAUAAAAUAGGAUUUUUCACAAGUCCUUCUAUUAUUCUUUUCUUUCCUUUCCUUUCCAAAAUGAAACUAUUACCAACUUUGUCUAUCCCCUACUGGUAAAAAGGUGUUCUGAAGCAUUAGAAUUAUCUACAUGACACAUUUUCAGAAAAAUCAAGCAGGAAUUGACUUCAGAAUUCAAGUCAUGUACAUUUCCUUCCAAUCUUGCUGAGCUGCACGAGGCCAGAAGGCACCGAGGUUCAACUGUUUGAUACGCAAGUGCAGCAUCUUGGAACUAGGUACAAAAUGACAUUAAGAUAUUUGCUGUUUUUCUAGGAGUCAAGAAUUCCUUCAGCAUGCCUCUUUGGCUAAAAUUUCUAAUUUCUGCUAACCAUAAACCUCUUUUGAAAGUUCAGGAUGAGCCUGCAAUUCUGUUACCAAGUAUGCAGUGCUGGAGUCUGUUGCCCGGAGCCCUGAUGGCACGGCUCAGGACUGCACAAGACUGAGUUGCCAAUAUCUAAUUUUGGGGGUCAAAGUCAUCUGCCACUGUAUGCCUCAGACUGUGCUGCGACACUGCUACACAGAUGUUCCUGAUGUUGAGGGACCUCUCCCGUCCACCUCUGCAUAAAUCCAACAAUGCACGUUUCAGGGAUUUGAGAAAGGGAACUUGGUGCCACAUGACACUCAAGCAAAUCUGAUGAAGAAAAGAUGAUGAGGACCAUGGAUGUACUAUUUGAAACCUCACAGGUGCUGCUUCAGAUUCUUGGUUUACCUGUCUCUGGAGACCUUGACCCUUUGCUCAGCUCCAGCCGCUGCUGAGGAGACCCACUCCCCAUGCACAUCUGGGCAGUUCCAUCGUCUGACCUACCAGAUGCAAACUGGAACUCCCUAUGGCACACACUGCCCAAUGGAAGAUGGUGGUUUCCCCCCUACAGUCAGAAGUGUUCAUCUCAGUUGAGAAACAUGGAACAGAAAAGCAGAAAAAAAAAGACCUUUUAAGUUCUCCAAACUUAAUCUUUGAAUUGGAAAAGUUUAGGUCUAAAAGGACUCAGGAAAUAUAAAAUCCACGGUGCGAUAAAGAAAGUCUUCCUCUUCGUCUACACUGAAAAGCAUUCCCCAGGACAAAGGGGAAAGAAGAGAGAGCCAGGGAGAACAGAUCAUUUUCUGCUGACAGAUCCCAUGGGAAGGGUUCUGCCGUGUUCCAGGAGGAGGAGAGAGGUAUCAGGAAUCUUCAGAUAAGCUGGAGUAUCUGAGGGCAGAGAGUCCUAUGUGAUCACCUUCUGCAAGCCCUCCCAGGUGGAGCCUGGGAGCAUGGAAGUCCUGUGGAGGGAGCCUGGGCAGAUUUUUGAGUUAGCCUCACAGUUUUCUAAGGCUCAGAGAUGAUGCAAGCAGUAGAGCAUUUCUCAUGUGGCAAAGAUUCAGUGACCCGAGUAAAUCAGUGAUGAGGAAAAAGAUGAGAGUGAGUAUUCCUUAACAGAUGAGACGUCAGUAUGAGUGAUGUCACCAGCGAUCAGCUAUGUCGCCCCUCCAAUCCACACUGUGAUACUAUGGACUCAAAUUUAGGUGUAACUCCAAGGAAGAGUGAUGAAUUCUGAGAUUAAGUCCCCAGAAUUUGGUGGAAUGGAACUCAAAAGAAAAACUAAACUCAGUUAUAGGAAAAAUAAUGUAAUUUAUUCAUUUAUUUCACACUAUGAUCUGUGGAGUGAAAUUUGUAUAUAUUCGCAUCCUCCACUGCCCCAUCCCCAAAUCCUACCUCUUAGUACAAUGGGCAUCCUGGCCUCUCCACGCCCUCCCCUUGCUCCAGAUCCUCUGGCCUGAGCAUUUUCUGAGUCCGCAGGUUCUUGUAUUGGAAGACGAGUGCAGACUGACCCAUUAGCCUGAGAUGGCAGGCUGCUUGCCCAUCCCAUGAUUUUUGUGGUCAGUUUAAAAUAAACUGGCACUUAAUAUACGGAAAAGAAAAAAAGUUCAGAGGAAGAGAAUAGUCACUAGGUUACUUCCAGUGUUGUGCUAGUGUUCAACACCACUAGUUAUUUAACAAAUAGCUCCCCAUAAAAACCAAAAGACCGGCCAGCCAGGUGGUGUAUAUAGUGGUUAGGUUCAAAAGCUCUGCUUUGGCAGCUUGGGGUUUGCAGUUUGGAUCCAGGUGUGGAACUAGCACCGCUUAUCUGGCCACAGGGUGUCCCACAUAGAAUAGAAGAAGAUUGGCACAGAUGUUAGCUCAGUGUAAUCUUCCUCAAGCAAAAAGAGGAGUAUUGGCAACAGAUGUUAGCUCAGGGCCAAUCUUCCUCAUGCACACACAAAAAAGACCAAAAUUUUAGCAUAUGCCAAUAUCCAUGGGAUGCUUUCAAGCUACCAGCUUAGGAUUUAAGUAGUAGAUGUAGAUCCAGAUGUAGGUGGAUGCACACGUGGAUGGUUGAAAGGAUGGGUGGUUGAUAGGUGAAUGAGUAAAUGCAUGAGUGGAUACACAGAUGUAGAGAUGGGUACCUAAAUGGAUGGACGAGUGGGAAGGUGGAUGGAUCAAGGUAUGGAGGGAAAGAUAGGUAGAUGGGUGGAUGGUUGGGCAGUUGGAUAAUUGACAUAAGAAUCCCUAGACUCUGUUCUUAAAGAACAAGCGACCUGGCUAAUUUUAAGCUACCAACUGUCACUGAAUGUGACAAUAGGAAGGAGAUGCACAAAAUCAUCUCUUACAAGUUGAUACCUGCCAGUUCCAGCCAAUCACUAACUAUUGUCCAUAUGUACAUGAAAAGGAUAGCUUCCUUUCUCAAUGAUUGACAGGUCCAAAUGUAGAGCUCUGCUAGUUUCACCGAGGGAUGUAGACCAUUUCUGAAGCAAAGGAAGAGUCCAAUCUAGAGAGUUAUUUUUUAUAGGAACAAUAUCCUUGCAAGUAGGUGCGUUUCAGGCACAGUCUUUCUCAUCUGGAGGAUGACUAUGAAUUUUAUUUUCCUUCGUCCUUGUUCAGAAACCGCAUUCAGUAACAACUUUAUUUUGGCAGAUUUCAGGGAGAAAGUGUAAAGAAGAUUGACUCUGACAGGGUCUGUCCUCAGAGUCGACAUAACUGGAACAUGCACAGAAAUCACAAGGUCAGGACAAAAGUACAGAAAAUGGGGGAAGCUCGAGAAGGAGAUGUUGCAUAUCCAGGGCUUACGAGAAAAAUGAUGUAGAUUCUGUUCUAACAGAGUAAAGGUCUAAGCUUACCUAGAGUUUAUUUUUAUUAGAUUGUUUAAUUAUAACCUAGACACAAUGCAAUAUACUUGUUAGGCUUUAUUUUAAUAUGUUUAUUGUAUAUACCUACCUUUGCCACUUUUAUAUGUGUUUUAUUUGUAUUAUUUAAGCAAUUAUGACAACAAAUUAUGAGACAGGUACUGUUAUUACCACCUCCAUGUUAUAGAAACAAACUAAUGCUUAGAGGGGCUGAGUAACUUGCCCAAGUGUCGCAUCUUUCUGCCCUCUGUUGAACGACAGGAACAACUCCCCAGUGAUAGAAACAAUGGCAUUUACCCAAUUUUCUUUGGACGAAAGUUUCAUAGAAUGAGUUCUGCUCAUCAAUUUACUGCGUGUUUUCUUAGUACAUAGUGAGAUGGUCAGUAAAUGCUUGUUGGGUGAAUGAAUUAAUCCUUUGCUUUAUUUACUGUGGCUUUGGCCAUUUCGAUUAAAUGAAGCAAUUGUUAUAGUUUAUCAUCCUUCUGUUAUUGUACUUACUGGUCCCUUGAACAGUAGUAGUUUUGUCAAUAUUGACAAAAAUUCACAACGAAAUUAUAUCCUCAGCACCUGCACAGAAAGUUUAAAAUAAAAACAGACGAAAACCAAAUUUAAUUAAUUAAUUUGCUGAGGAAGAUUUGUCCUGAGCUAACAUCCGCUGCCAAUCUACCUCUUUUUAUAUGUGAGCCGCCCCACAGCACGGCCAUUGACAGAUGAGUGGUGUAGGUCUGCACCUGGAAACUGAACCUGGGCCAUCAAAGCAGAGCUCACCGAACUUAACCACCAGGCCACUGGGACUCGCCC
rnacentral:lncRNA from 1 species